UACGGGGGGGGUAAGCGUUGUUCGGAAUUACUGGGCGUAAAGGGCUCGUAGGCGGCCAACUAAGUCAUACGUGAAAUCCCUCAGCUUAACUGGGGAACUGCGUGUGAUACUGGAUGGCUUGAAUCCGGGAGAGGGAUGUGGAAUUCCAGGUGUAGCGGUGAAAUACGUAGAUAUCUGGAGGAACACCUGAGGCGAAGGCGGGCUACUGGGCCGAUACUGACGCUGAUGCGCGAAAGCCAGGGGAGCGAACAGG
rnacentral:rRNA from 1 species